rnacentral:rRNA from 1 species
CCUUGUAUACACCGCCCGUCACGCCAUGAAAGUUGUCUGUACCCGAAGUUGCCUUAGCUAACCUGAAAAGGAGGCGGGCGCCUAAGGUAUGGGGGAUGAUUGGGGCG